rnacentral:tRNA from 1 species
CAGAUAUUAGUUUAAAAAAAAUUUUAAUUUUGGAGAUUAAAGAUAAUAAAAUUAUUAUAUCUGA